GUACACUCCUACGGGAGGCAGCAGUGGGGAAUAUUGGACAAUGGGCGCAAGCCUGAUCCAGCCAUGCCGCGUGAGUGAUGAAGGCCCUAGGGUUGUAAAGCUCUUUCACCGGAGAAGAUAAUGACGGUAUCCGGAGAAGAAGCCCCGGCUAACUUCGUGCCAGCAGCCGCGGUAAUACGAAGGGGGCUAGCGUUGUUCGGAAUUACUGGGCGUAAAGCGCACGUAGGCGGAUCGAUCAGUCAGGGGUGAAAUCCCAGGGCUCAACCCUGGAACUGCCUUUGAUACUGUCGAUCUGGAGUAUGGAAGAGGUGAGUGGAAUUCCGAGUGUAGAGGUGAAAUUCGUAGAUAUUCGGAGGAACACCAGUGGCGAAGGCGGCUCACUGGUCCAUUACUGACGCUGAGGUGCGAAAGCGUGGGGAGCAAACAGGAUUAGAUACCCGUGUAGUCCCAU
rnacentral:rRNA from 1 species